UACGAAGGGGGCUAGCGUUGCUCGGAAUGACUGGGCGUAAAGGGUGCGUAGGCGGGUCUUUUAAGUCAGGGGUGAAAUCCUGGAGCUCAACUCCGGAACUGCCUUUGAUACUGGCGACCUUUGAGUCCGGGAGAGGUGAGUGGAACUCCGAGUGUAGAGGUGAAAUUCGUAGAUAUUCGGAAGAACACCAGUGGCGAAGGCGGCUCACUGGCCCGGUACUGACGCUGAGGUGCGAAAGCGUGGGGAGCAAACAGG
rnacentral:rRNA from 1 species